AAGGACUCCUCGUUGUUUUAUCAAAAGUUAAAGUGAAAUUUGUCUGUGUGGGAGACAGAACCUUCCUUAGGGAUGGCCUCACACUGUGGAAUGAACUCCCCCAAGAACUAUAUAAACGUCACCACUUUCCACUCAAAGUGGAAUAUUUAACAAGAAGAAGAAAAAGAAAAACCAACAAAAACAAACACACAAACCCUACCAAAACAAGCUACUCCAUGUGCCUCUUUCUCUGGGCAGAGGAUGAGAGAACAAAUAACAUGAAACAGAGGUGGAGUAGUGCUUAAUGCACUACUAGAAGGCAAUCUGAUACUACCGUGAUGAACACAGUAUAAAAAUCUGAGUAGAGUAGAAUACAAUAGACCAGUGGAAUUAAUUGUAUCUGUGAGGCAUUUAUGUGAGUAGGACCUCCUAGCCCAGUCCCCAGAAGGAGUAUUGGCUACAUCUAAGGUCGGCAGAUGGCAAGGAUGAAAAAUCAGGAUGGAGGAGAUAACAGGGUCGUAUAAAAGACAAAGCCCCUCAUAUCAGGACAGUCCUUAUAAAAUUGGGACAUCUGGUCAUCCUAUAUACAUCACAAAAGCCCAACCAGAACUAGCUCUUAUUGCUCUGCUUGUAUGCUGUCUCAGCAGACUGAGGACAGAAUGGGCCUCCAGAACAGGAUUCAGGCUUACUAGAAGAAGACUGUGCGGUGGUUAGCAAUAAUUGCUACUAAUGUGAUACCUUUCACUAUAGCACCAACGCCACAUACAUAGUUCAAUCUUGCUAUUAAGGUUAAAUUUAAAAAUGGCCACUCCUCAGUGGUGAUUUUUAUGGAGAAGGGGUUGUCUCUAAUGUAUCUUAUCCUUACAUUACGCUAUGAACUUUCAAUCCGUUGGGUAUAUAAAAUACACUCAGUUGCUAACAUGCCCUUAUUUUUUUCUUGGCUGUAAAACCAGGCCAUGGCUUUGGUAGAAAAGGUUCCUAUGAAAUGCUGAGUGAAUGAACUAAUACUAAGCCUUGUAAAAGAGCCAGAGACUCCAGCUAGCAGAGGCAGCUGCCGAAGCAGCUAAAAAGCAAGGACUUCUCCACUGUAGUCAGGGGUAAAAUAAGAUCCAGAUUGGGCCACUCCAGCCAAAACCAAGACAUUCACCAGUCCCACCCUGGCUCCAAAGCUGUUCUGGGGUCCCCACUUCUCUAUUGUUUAUCUGUAUGGUUUAUGUCUGGUUCCUUGAUUGUUUCUGUCUGUUGCAUAGGUAAUUUUGCAAGAUUUAAAUAAAGUAAGGUGGUGGGGUAUAACUGAGUAAAGAAUUAUUUCGCAAUAUGUCAGGAUUGGUCAAAAAAAUAUUUUGUAGUAUUUUACUAACAUGAUUGGUUAAGGUAUGGCUAAGCAGGACUCAAGUUUCACUAUAUAAGCUGAGUUCCAAGAAGGAGACCAGUUGGGAAAAGAAAGGAAAAGGAAAAAAAGAAUAUGAAGGAAAGACCUGGAAGAAGAAGAAGAAUUCACCUCCAAGACACAGCCCAAGAGCAGAGUUGCUAGAAUCGUAUGUAGGACCAUGACGUGCAGCAACCAGAAUCCAGACCAGACCGACCUUGCCUGGUCAACAGGGAAAGUCCACCUGUGUGAUGAGGAUUGUGUGAUCUGUUUAGCAUGGAAACAUCAACUUCAAGCUAUAUUUCACCACGGCAAGGCAUGGGCAGUUCUCCUGACAAUGCUGUAGUCAGAGCUAUAGGGAAACCUCCACCAGAACCACCAAAGAACCAGGAAUCUGCUCUGAGACCUUUAACAACAACGCCAACGCACAACAGCAGAAGAGUGCAGUCGAAGCGUCAGGACAGUCCAAAGCUCAUAUACGUCAAGCCAAAGGACAAAACGAAAGACUCUGGUAAAAAGCAACCACAGAAACACAACUCUGGUUUCUCAGCUGUCAGCACCACACCAAACCCUGAGAAAACUGUGAGCGAAAACACACAUAUUCAUAAACCUGGAGCAAACUUUUUAGUGGUUGUAAAUAACAAAACCAAGGACUGAAAGGUCCAGCGAUGCAGGGGUAGCUCCUUAUGAAGCUAUAUGGCUUCAUAUGGCAAUAUGGCAACACACAUAUUCAUAAACCUGGAGCAAACUUUUUAGUGGUUGUAAAUAAAAAAACCAAGGACUGAAAGGUCCAGCGAUCCAGGGGUAGCUCCUUAUGAAGUAUCCAACAAUUGUUGGAGGUCGGCACAGCUCUUCAGUAUUCUAGAAAAUUUGGGAAAAUUAUGACAAUUGUUCAUAAGGUCGGCACAGCUCUUCAGUAUUCUAGAAAAUCUGGGAAAAAUAUGGCGCUUCGUUCAGAAAGCUGAUGGACGCUGUAUCCUCAGAGGUUCUCAAAGAAAGGAGGACUUGAAACUACAUCAAAAAUGCAAAAGCUCUUGCCGCUGACUUUGAAAAAUACUUCAGUUUUUCUGAGGGUUGCUCUGAGCAGGCAUGAUUAGUCAGGAAAGGGGCUUUGGUAAAAGGGGCAUCCUCAAGGGUACACAUCAGCUAAGGCAUAAACAAAAGGGGGGACAGUGUUGCUGGAUAAACGUACGUCUUCCGAAAAGUUACAGGCCAGGGUCGCUGAAAUUUAAAAAAAAAAGGCUAAAGAGGUGAUGAGGAGCAAAAAACAAAAAGAGAUGCCCUCUAUUGGAGGCUCUCAAAUUGGUGUGUCUGACAUUGGGGAGGCAGAAUCCGACCUGGAGGCAGUGGUGACUCUCACAGAGUCUGAUUUAGAAAAUUCCCCAGAAGGCUUUCUUGAAGGGUC